UUCAUUUUAUCGGGGGCGCUACAUCUUUAAUAAAUGCAGGAGGUUCUAUAACAGACGGUAUUGAUCAGUGAUAGUGAUACACUAUCUUCAGCUGACUUGGUGAACCCACUUCAUUUCGGGGACAUGUAUCUUUUGUUUUUCAUGUAUUAUGUUUUGAGGUAUAGUCGGGGACUUAUUGUCGAUAUUUCCAUAUUACCCUUUAGUUGUACUUAGAUGCUCCGUAGACAGGUUGUGGAUGGUGUUUGAUGUUGGGAAUUGAAUUAGAAUUGUUGGUAUUUAGC
rnacentral:lncRNA from 1 species